UACGUAGGGUGCAAACGUUGCUCGGAAUUAUUGGGCGUAAAGCGCACGUAGGCGGCUCUGAAAGUUGGAUGUGAAAUCCCUCGGCUCAACCAAGGAAGUGCAUCCAAAACUGCAGAGCUUGAGUACUUAAGAGGAUCGCGGAAUUCCCGGUGUAGAGGUGAAAUGCGUAGAUAUCGGGAGGAACACCAGUGGCGAAGGCGACUACCUGGCCUGUUCUUGACGCUGAGGCGCGAAAGCUAGGGGAGCAAACGGG
rnacentral:rRNA from 1 species